rnacentral:rRNA from 1 species
UACAGAGGGGGCCAGCGUUAUUCGGAAUUAUUGGGCGUAAAGGGCGCGUAGGCGGCUUUGCGUGUCUUUCGUGAAAUCCCUCGGCUCAACUGAGGACGUGCGGAAGAAACUGCAGGGCUGGAGUCCGGGAGAGGAGGGUGGAAUUCCCAGUGUAGCGGUGAAAUGCGUAGAUAUUGGGAGGAACACCAGUGGCGAAGGCGGCCCUCUGGACCGGUUCUGACGCUCAGGCGCGAAAGCGUGGGGAGCGAUCCGG